rnacentral:piRNA from 1 species
AUUCUGUUGGUGAAGCUCGUAU